rnacentral:rRNA from 1 species
UAGUUUGAUCCUGGCUCAGGAUGAACGCUGGCGGCGCGCCUAACACAUGCAAGUCGAACGGCACCCCCCUCCGGGGGGAAGCGAGUGGCGAACGGCUGAGUAACACGUGGAGAACCCGCCCCCUCCCCCGGGAUAGCCCGGGGAAACCCGGGGUAAUACCGGAUGGGCCGGGGUCCCGCAUGGGGCCCCGGUGAAAGCCCAGGCGGGAGGGGAUGGCUCCGCGUCCCAUCAGGUAGACGGCGGGGCGACGGCCCACCGUGCCGACGACGGGUAGCCGGGUUGAGAGACCGACCGGCCAGAUUGGGACUGAGACACGGCCCAGACUCCUACGGGAGGCAGCAGUGGGGAAUCUUGCGCAAUGGGGGCAACCCUGACGCAGCGACGCCGCGUGCGGGAAGGAGGCCUUCGGGUCGUAAACCGCUUUCAGCAGGGAAGAGGAUGACGGUACCUGCAGAAGAAGCCCCGGCUAACUACGUGCCAGCAGCCGCGGUAACACGUAGGGGGCGAGCGUUAUCCGGAUUCAUUGGGCGUAAAGCGCGCGCAGGCGGCCGGGCAGGCGGGGCGUCAAAUGGCGGGGCUCAACCCCGUCCCGCGCCCCGAACCGCCCGGCUCGGGUCCGGCAGGGGAGGGUGGAACGCCCGGUGUAGCGGUGGAAUGCGCAGAUAUCGGGCGGAACACCGGUGGCGAAGGCGGCCCUCUGGGCCGGUACCGACGCUGAGGCGCGAAAGCUGGGGGAGCGAACAGGAUUAGAUACCCUGGUAGUCCCAGCCGUAAACGAUGGACGCUAGGUGUGGGGGGGUCGUCCCCCCGUGCCGCAGCCAACGCAUUAAGCGUCCCGCCUGGGGAGUACGGCCGCAAGGCUAAAACUCAAAGGAAUUGACGGGGGCCCGCACAAGCAGCGGAGCAUGUGGCUUAAUUCGAAGCAACGCGAAGAACCUUACCUGCGCUUGACACCACGGUGAAGCCGCGGAGACGCGGUGGCCGAGAGGAGCCGUGACAA